rnacentral:rRNA from 1 species
GAUGAACGCUUGCGGCGUGCCUUAUACCUGAAGUCGAACGAAACACGUUCCUCUGAUCAUUUCGGUGUGAAGAGGUUCCUGACUUAAUGGCGACCGGGGGAGUGACACUUGACUGACCUGCCCCGAAGUGCGGCAUAACAGGGGGAAACCCCUGCUAAUUCCGCACGUGCUCCCACCUGUUGUGGUGUGAUUAAAGAUUUAUCGCUUCACGAUGGGCUCGCGGUCCAUCAGCUAGUUGGUAGGGCAAUGGCCUACCAAGGGGACCAGGGAUAGCCGGGCGGAGAGGGUGUACGGCCACAGGGGCACUGAUAUACGGGCCCCACUCCUACGGGAGGCAGCAGUUAGGAAUCUUCCACAAUGGGCGAAAGCCUGAUGGAGCGACGCCGCGUGAAGGAUGAAGGUCUUCGGAUCGUAAACUUCUAAAAGAGGGACGAUAAUGACGGUACCUCUUGAAAAGCACCGGCUAACUCCGUGCCAUUAACCGCUGUAAUACGGAGGGUGCUAGCGUUAUCCGGAAUCACUGGGCGUAAAGGGCGCGUAGGUAGUCUGUUAAGUCUGAUGUCAAAGACUGGGGCUCAACCCCAACAGUGCGUUGGAUACUGGCAGACUGCACGGUUGGAGAGGCGAGUGGAAUUACCAGUGUAGUCGAUGCAUUGCGUUCAUACUGGGUAGGCACCACGCAUUGCGUAAGGCAGCUCGCUGGACCAACACGUGAAGGUGAGGCGAGAAAGUGUGGGGAGCAAACCGGAUUAGAUACCCGGGUAGUCCACACCCUAAGCGAUGCAUACUUGGUGUUGGCCCGUUGGGGUCAGCGCCGAAGCUAACGCGUUAAGUAUGCCGCGUGGGAAGUACGGCGGCAAGGUUGAAAUUCAAAGGAAUUGACGGGGCCCCGCACAACCGGUGGAGCAUGUGUUUUAAUUCGAAGCAACGCGAAGACCCUUACCAGCCCUUGACAUCCACGGAACCCGUCAGAGACGAGGGGGUUCCCUUCGGGGAGCCGUGAAACAGGUGCAGCAUGGCUGUCGUCAGCUGGUGUCGUGAGAUGUUCGAUUAAGUCCGACAACGAGCGCCACCCUCCCCAUUAGUCGCCAGCAGUUGGGCUGGGCACUUUAGUGGGACUCCCUACGAAAGUAGGAGGAAGGCGGGGAUGAUGUCUAGUCAGCAUGGUCCUUAUGCCCUGGGCGACACACGUGUUACAAUGGCCGGCACAGCGGGUAGCCACCUCGCGAGAGGGAGCCAAUCCCGAAAGCCGGUCCCAGUUCGGAUCGCAGUCUGCAACUCGACUGCGUGAAGUUGGAAUCGCUAGUAAUCGCGGAUCAGCCAUGCCGCGGUGAAUACGUUCCCGGGCCUUGUACACACCG